AACGAACGCUGGCGGCAUGCCUAACACAUGCAAGUCGAACGAGACCUUCGGGUCUAGUGGCGCACGGGUGCGUAACGCGUGGGAACCUGCUCUUAGGUUCGGAAUAACUCCCCGAAAGGGGUGCUAAUACCGGAUAAUGUCUUCGGACCAAAGAUUUAUCGCCUUUGGAUGGGCCCGCGUUGGAUUAGCUAGUUGGUAGGGUAAAAGCCUACCAAGGCGACGAUCCAUAGCUGGUCUGAGAGGAUGAUCAGCCACACUGGGACUGAGACACGGCCCAGACUCGUACGAGAGGCAGCAGUGGGGAAUAUUGGACGAUGGGCGAAAGCCUAAUCCAGCAAUGCCGCGUGAGUGAUGAAGGCCUUAGUGUUGUAAAUCUCUUUUACCCGGGAUGAUAAUGACAGUACCGGAAGAAUAAGCUCCGGCUAACUCCGUG
rnacentral:rRNA from 1 species